AGACAGAGGAGGCAAGCGUUGUUCGGAAUCAUUGGGCUUAAAGAGGGUGUAGGCGGUCUGGAAAGUGUCUUGUGAAAUCCCACGGCUCAACCGUGGAACCGCUCGGCAAACUUCCAGACUUGAGGUCGGUAGAGGUGCCUGGAACUCUAGGUGGAGCGGUGAAAUGCGUAGAUAUCUAGAGGAACGCCAGAGGCGAAAGCGGGGCACUGGGCCGAAUCUGACGCUGAGACCCGAAAGCGUGGGGAGCAAACAGGAUUAGAUACCCCAGUAGUCC
rnacentral:rRNA from 1 species